rnacentral:rRNA from 1 species
GACGAACGCUGGCGGCGUGCUUAACACAUGCAAGUCGAGCGGUAAGGCCCUUUCGGGGGUACACGAGCGGCGAACGGGUGAGUAACACGUGAGCAACCUGCCCUUCUCUUUGGAAUAAGCGUUGGAAACGACGUCUAAUGCCGAAUAUGACCCCCUGUCGCAUGGUGGGGGGUGGAAAGCUCUGGCGGAGAAGGAUGGGCUCGCGGCCUAUCAGCUUGUUGGUGUGGGUAAUGGCCCACCAAGGCGACGACGUGUAGCCGGCCGGAGAGGGUGACCGGCCACACUGGGACUGAGACACGGCCCAGACUCCUACGGGAGGCAGCAGUGGGGAAUAUUGGACAAUGGGCGAAAGCCUGAUCCAGCAACGCCGCGUGGGGGAUGACGGCCUUCGGGUUGUAAACCUCUUUCAGCAGGGACGAAGCGAGAGUGACGGUACCUGCAGAAGAAGGACCGGCCAACUACGUGCCAGCAGCCGCAGUAA